AACGAUAUAGUUCAACUGGUUAGAACGUCGGAAUCAUAAUCCGAAAGUUAUAGGUUCAAGUCCUAUUAUCGUUA
rnacentral:tRNA from 1 species